rnacentral:rRNA from 1 species
CCUACGGGAGGCAGCAGUGGGGAAUAUUGCACAAUGGGGGAAACCCUGAUGCAGCGACGCCGCGUGAGUGAAGAAGUUUUUCGGUAUGUAAAGUCCUAUUAGCAGAGAAGAAAAUGACGGUACCUGAUGAAUAAGCACCGGCUAACUACGUGCCAGCAGCCGCGGUAAUACGUAGGGGGCAAGCGUUACUCGGAUUUACUGGGUGUAAAGGGCGCGUAGGCGGGAUAGCAAGUCUGGUGUGAAAUGCCAUGGCUUAACCCUGGAACUGCAUUUGAAACUGUGAAGCUAGAGUGCAGGAGAGGUAAGUGGAAUUCUUGGUGUAGCGGUGAAAUGCGUAGAGAUUAGGAGGAAUACUAGUGGCGAAGGCGGCUUACUGGACUGUAACUGACGUUGAGGCGCGAAAGCGUGGGGAGCAAACAGGAUUAGAUACCCGUGUAGUC